UGUCUAAGUACAUGCCGUAUUAAGGCGAAACCGCGAAUGGCUCAUUAAAUCAGUUAUGGUUCCUUGGAUCGUACCUCACUACUUGGAUAACUGUGGCAAUUCUAGAGCUAAUACAUGCAGCAGAGCUCCGACCCUCGGGGACGAGCGCUUUUAUUAGACCAAAACCAAUCGGGCCUCGUGUCCGUCAAACGUGGUGACUCUGUAUAACUUUGGGCUGAUCGCACGGGCUCGUCCCGGCGACGUAUCCUUCAAGUGUCGCCUUAUCAACUGUCGAUGGUAGGUUAUGCGCCUACCAUGGUCGUAACGGGUAACGGGGAAUCAGGGUUCGAUUCCGGAGAGGGCGCCUGAGAAACGGCGACCACAUCCAAGGAAGGCAGCAGGCGCGCAAAUUACCCACUCCCGGAACGGGGAGGUAGUGACGAAAAAUAGCGAUACGGGACUCUUUUGAGACCCCGUAAUUGGAAUGAGUACACUCUAAAUCCUUUAACGAGGACCCACUAGAGGACAAGUCAGGUGCCAGCACCCGCGGUAAUUCCUGUUCUAGUAGUGUAUAUUAAAGUUGUUGCGGUUAAAAAGCUCGUAGUUGGAUCUCAGUUCGAGUCGGGUGGUCCCCCAACCGGGGGUUACUGCCUGUUCUCAACACGGCCGGUUUCCCUGGAUGAUCUUCACCGGUUGUCUUGGGUGACCGGCAAGUUUACUUUGAAAAAAUUAGAGUGCUCAGAGCAGGCGCGACGCCUGAAUAAUGUUGCAUGGAAUAAUGGAAUAGGACCUCGGUUCUAUUUUGUUGGUUUUCGGAACACGAGGUAAUGAUUAAGAGGGACAGACGGGGGCAUUCGUAUUGCGACGCUAGAGUUAAAGGAAUUGACGGAAGGCCACCACCAGGCGUGGAGCCUGCGGCUUAAUUUGACUCAACACGGGAAAACUCACCCGGCCCGGACACAGGAAGGAUUGACAGAUUGAGAGCUCUUUCUUGAUUCUGUGGAAGGUGGUGCAUGGCCGCUCUAGCUCGUGGAGCGAUUUGUCUGGUUUACUCCGAUAACGAUCGAGAUCCCAGCCUGCUAAAUAGACGAUCCGAUUCUUCUCGGUCGGACGUUCUUCUUAGAGGGAUAAGUGGCGUUUAGCCGCACGAAACGGGGCAAUGCAGGUCAGUGAUGCCCCAAGAUGUCCGGGGCCGCACGCGCGCUACAUUGAAGGAAUCAGCGUGUGCUUUCCCUGUCCGAGAGGACUGGGUAACCCGUUGAAACUCUUUCGUGCUGGGGAUUGCGAAAUGCAACUAAUGCAUGAACGAGGAACGCCUAGUAAGCGCGAGUCAAUAGCUCGUGCUGAUUAUGUCCCUGGCCUUUGUCCACACCGCCCGUCGCACUACCGAUUGAACGAUUUAGUGAGGGCAUCGGACUGGCGCUCGGAUUGGCCUUCGGUCGAGCCGCGUGCCGGAAAGAUGUCCAAACUUGACCGUUUAGAGGAAGUGAAAGUCGUAACAAGGUUUCC
rnacentral:rRNA from 1 species